AUACUUAUCAGGCAGGGGAGAUACCAUGAUCACGUAGGUGGUUUUCCCAGGGUAAGGCUAGCCCAGUGCACUUCGGGGGUGUUGACCCCUGUGAUUUCCCCAAAUGAGGAAACUCUACUGCAUAAUUUUUGUUAGUGGGGGCCUGCGUUCACACUCUUCUCUC